rnacentral:rRNA from 1 species
ACGGGAGGCAGCAGUAGGGAAUAUUGGUCAAUGGGGGAAACCCUGAACCAGCGACGCCGCGUGAGUGAAGAAGUAUUUCGGUAUGUAAAGCUCUAUCAGCAGGGAAGAUAAUGACGGUACCUGACUAAGAAGCCCCGGCUAACUACGUGCCAGCAGCCGCGGUAAUACGUAGGGGGCAAGCGUUAUCCGGAUUUACUGGGUGUAAAGGGAGCGUAGACGGAAGGCCAAGUCUGAUGUGAAAACCUAGGGCUCAACCCUGGGACUGCAUUGGAAACUGGUCAUCUAGAGUGCAGGAGGGGUAAGCGGAAUUCCUAGUGUAGCGGUGAAAUGCGUAGAUAUUAGGAGGAACACCAGUGGCGAAGGCGGCUUACUGGACUGUAACUGACGUUGAGGCUCGAAAGCGUGGGGAGCAAACAGGAUUAGAUACCCUGGUA